UACGUAGGGGGCAAGCGUUGUCCGGAAUUACUGGGCGUAAAGGGUGCGUAGGCGGCCUUACAAGUCAGAGGUGAAAGGCUACGGCUUAACCCCGGGGCUGCACAUGAAACUGUUAGACUUGAGGGCAGGAGAGGGGAGUGGAAUUCCCGGUGUAGCGGUGACAUGCGUAGAUAUCGGGAGGAACACCAGUGGCGAAGGCGACUCUCUGGCCUGUAACUGACGCUGAGGCGCGAAAGCGUGGGGAGCAAACAGG
rnacentral:rRNA from 1 species